UACGUAGGGGGCGAGCGUUUAUCCGGAUUUACUGGGCGUAAAGCGCGUUAAGGCGGUCGGCAAAGUUGGCUGUGAAAUCUCAGGGCUCAACCCUGAAAUUGCGGCCAAUACUGGUCGACUAGAGUGUGAGAGAGGAAGGUGGAAUUCCCGGUGUAGUAGUGAAAUGCGUAGAUAUCGAGAGGAACACCUGCGGCGAAGGCGGGUUGCUGGGCUGACACUGACGCUGAUUGUGCGAAAGCUAGGGGAGCGAACGGG
rnacentral:rRNA from 1 species